CCUCACUCGCUGCGCCCCGCGCGGCCGCCCGCCUUCAGAACUACAAGUCCCGGCGUGCGCGGGAUGUGCGUGGCGCGGCGGCUGGGAGAGCUUGGUUCCUCGGGCCCGCCCGUGGCUGUGGGUUUUUAAACCAAAGGGAGGUGGCAAAUGGAGGACUAUAAAGACACUUAACAAGACAGUUUUGAUGAUUGAAGUAUGAGAAUAAGAAAAAAUCUUUGUGACAGCAUUGCCAAUAGAUGUGGUCAAAGCCAUCUGUACCAAGAUGAAGGAAAAAAUUCUGUCAUCGUCAUUCCGCAAAGCAACAUGUCAACAGCCAGGCUGGGACCCCUGGAGAUAACUGGUGCUGGAGAGCCAUAGGGAGGGAAGUGACAGGGAGUGAAUAUUUUAGUGCCCAUGUGUCAAUAGUAUUGGUUAGCAUCAAAAUGUGACUUUGCUGAAUGCAGAUUCAGUUCCUGGGGUGUUCAGUACCGUGGCACAUAUCAUGGCAUUUUGGAGUUCGCUGUGUACAGAAGCACUGCAAAAAGUUUUUUCACUUAGGUAGAGAAUAACAGAACAGACCCAAAUGGGAAUUUUUUCUAUACUGUCUUGGAUAACAAGGUUAAGCAGAGAAUCUGUUAAGACAACAACAACAAAAAAAACCAGUGACAAUUUAAAUAAAUCAGAUGUUUUUGCUGAAGAUUAUGCUGUCAUUUUCUCCAAUUAUUCUUGACAUUUCACCCAAUCGUAUUGUGAUCUGAGUUAAUAAUGGAAGAAAAAGAACGGCUCUCGUUGCCUUGUUUAUUCUUUGUUCUCAAGGAGAUAAGCUGUUUAUAAGGAUAUUUGUUAUUUAAAUCACUUUUACUGAAGUUGUUUGUUUCCUUGUUUGAGAUUCUAAAAAUAUUGCAACAAUUGCAAUGCAUCUUUGAAACGCCUAUUCACUUCACUAUGAUUUGUACUGAAACUCAUUCCUAAAUGGGCACAGGUGUUGAUAGCUAGAAUGAGUCAAAACCAAUAAGUGCUCAAUAAAGAGAAGAUGAAAGAAAAUGCACUGAGCUCUUUUAAGAUGUGAUAAAUUGGCAUUUUAGUUCAUAGCUUAAUUAGGUAUGUAGCAUUGAAGAUGUGCCUGGUGCAACUGCAUAUUUUAAAACAGUUGAACAUAGAAUUAUGGAAUCACAGAAUCAUGAAGGUUGGAAAAGACUACUAAGAUAAUCUAGUCCAACCAUCAGCCCAUCCCCACCAUGCCCAGUAACCAUGUCUGACAGUGCCACAUCCACGUGUUCCUUGAACACCUCCAGGGACGAUGGCUCCAACACGUUGGAACAUAAUUUCAUGUACCAUUAAUAUUUGCAAGAUCAUAAAUUUUAUUAAAAAAUAGUAAUACUAUUCAGUAGAAUCUACUUUAGUACUUUUGUAGGUUAUGUUUGCAAUCAGUUCUACAGUGCCUUGAUGUGGUAUUUUGCUACCUUCUUACGUAAGAAACCUUGUUGGAUAGUGUUCUAUGAUAAUGACUUGUUCACUUGCUCAUGUUGCACAGAAAUUUAACUCUAGAAUAUAUUAUAGGAAUUCUGAUACUGAAAAGGCAGAAAUAAAGCAUUUUCUUCAUGC